UACAGAGGUCUCGAGCGUUGUUCGGAUUCAUUGGGCGUAAAGGGUGCGUAGGUGGUCUGGUAAGUCGGAUGUGAAAUCCCGGGGCUCAACCCCGGAACUGCAUUCGAUACUGCCGGGCUUGAGUACUGGAGAGGAGAUCGGAAUUUACGGUGUAGCAGUGAAAUGCGUAGAUAUCGUAAGGAAGACCGGUGGCGAAGGCGGAUCUCUGGACAGUUACUGACACUGAGGCACGAAGGCCAGGGGAGCAAACGGG
rnacentral:rRNA from 1 species